GAACGUCGUGAGACAGUUCGGUCUCUAUCUACAGUGGGCGCAAGAAAUUUGAGUGGAUCUGAUCCUAGUACGAGAGGACCGGAUUGGACCGACCGCUGGUGCACCAGUUGUCCCGCCAGGGGCACCGCUGGGUAGCUACGUCGGGAAGGGAUAAGCGCUGAAAGCAUAUAAGCGCGAAACCCACCACAAGAUGAGAUUUCUUUAAAGGGCCGUGGGAGACUACCACGUUGAUAGGCCGCAGGUG
rnacentral:rRNA from 1 species